rnacentral:lncRNA from 1 species
GGUCCAGCAAGAGGGGUGGUGAGGCCUCUGUCAACCCCUACAGCCAUAAAAGUAUUAUCACCAACUGCUGUGCUGUGCUCUGUGGCCCACUGCCUCCCAGCCUGAUCGACCGGAGGGGAUUUGUGCAGUCUGAUACUGUGCUGCCCUCGCCCAUCAGAAGUGAUGAGCCAGCCUGUGGAGCCAAGCCAGACGCCAGCAUGUAUGUGCGGGGGCUUAAGGAGCUCCUGAGGACCGCCACUCUCUGCCCCUUCAGGAGUGGCCUGGGGGGAGCCAGGCACCCAGCACCUCCACCUGCCUAACUUGUGGCCCAUCUGCCACCAUCUGUGCCUACAGGGUCCGUCCCCCAGCCUGUCCUACUUAUGUGCUCUUAGAGCCUCCCCACCAACCGUGGGCAGGCGCUGGGCUCUAGUCCCCGACCCCAACUCCUUGCUGGCCAGAAUGUAGAAAGCCAUACACUGUAACACUGCUGCACCUCGCCCUCCCCUCCUGCCCUCAUGCCCCUUCCCCAGAUUUGUGAACUGUGAGACUCUUUAGGAAUCUUGCCUUGCAGCCUCCCCCCAGUCAGCAGAGCCAUAGGCCAGCCUAGCAGGUUCCUUCAGGAGCUAUCUGGGUGUUGAUGACGCUGCUGAACAAGUUUGGCAACUGCUCUAAGCACAAUGGGCUUGACACUGUUCCCACGCCCCCAUCCCCCCCAGUAGGAUGUGGAGUGUGAGCCUGUAUCCUUGGCCCCAGGCACCAAGGGCUAGACAGCUCCCGCGUUCUUCCGAGGACCCAUAGGGAGCCGGGUCAGACCGGGGAGAGCAGCUUCAUCCAGCCCAGGGGCUGCUCACCUGCUGUCCACUACCUUUUGUAAGAGAAAUAAAGACCUCCCCCCUUCUUCUUGCCUUCUCGCCGU